GACAAUGGAAAACUUCAUGUGAUGACAGUUUAUGUUCAUCCUGCAAAACCUUUCCAAAGAGCCAUUUAAAGGUUCCUUUCCCACUUCAGCUAAGAGAAUCAACACAUUGUUGGUCCUUGCUUCUGAAGACUGCCCUUGCGCUCUGUAGUACAGUUUCCAGCUUGAGUGUCAAAAUACACUUGAGUGUCAAAAUACCAGGAGGAAGCCUGUCUUUGUGAGGUCUACUGCCCAAUUCUACAGAACCAACAGGUUCCUAAGGUCCCAAGAUGGACGGAGCUGGAGUAGAGAG